CGAUCCUCUGCAGCCCCCAGGGCAGUCUGCGCCAGCCGGAUGCAGCUCCUCCCACCUCUUACCCUCACCCGGACCCAGAAAGGGCCGAGGAGACAGAAAGGCGCGAGCCUGAGCCCCCUAGGGUCGGCUAAGUCUUUCCAGGGAAGAAGAUCCGCGGCGGGAGCGGGUGGACGAAAGGUGUACCGAAUGCAAAAAAGUAGACCGACUCAAAUGGACGAUAAAAAGCCAAGGAAACCGAGUUUGACUUCCUUCCCAAUUUUGAAAGCAAAAAAGAAGCAAAAUUUCACCUCUGUGAAGGGUCCCACUUUUCCUCCUGAGAUCUACGCGGUUGAAAAUAAGCCUUUGGCUCAAGUCCAGAAGCCACCCUCCAAGAUCAAGAACCUCAAAAUGACCCGACUUUUGCAUAAGGGUACAAACACCAACAUUACUUCACUCCCUUUUAUGGAUACCAAGGAGAAGAAGAAUGUGAUCAACCUCCCACACAUCAGCAACAAAAUUCUGCUGAAGCCAGGUGUGCUGUCCCGGGAAAUUCAAACACACAGUCAUAAGCUGGCCUCUGAGUACAAGGCUUUAGAAGCACCUUUCCACCCUAGCAUGAAGACUCAUGAACACAAGGUAGAAGAGAAACCACCAAAGAAGCACAAGGUGCCUCUGAUGGCAGCAGAAGCCCUAAAGAAUUUUAAGAGUAAGCUGUCUCCUUAUGAGCAAAGUGAAAUCCUGGGCUACACAGAGCUAUGGUUCCUGGGGCUUGAUGCUGAGAAACUCAAUGUGGCUCCAGAGAAAUUCAGCAAGACAAGUUUUGAUGAUGAACAUGGCUCCUAUCUGAAGGUCCUGCAUGACCACAUUGCCUACCGCUACGAGGUUCUGGAGAUGAUUGGAAAAGGGUCCUUUGGACAGGUGGCCAAGUGCUUGGAUCACAAAAACAAUGAGUUGGUGGCCCUGAAAAUCAUCAGGAACAAAAAGAGAUUUCACCACCAGGCCCUGGUGGAGCUGAGGAUCCUGGAAGCCCUCAGAAGGAAGGAUAAAGACAACAAGUACAAUGUGGUACACAUGAAGGACUUUUUCUACUUCCGAAAUCACCUCUGCAUCACCUUUGAACUUUUGGGAAUCAACUUGUAUGAGUUGAUGAAGAGUAAUAGCUUUCAAGGUUUUAGUCUAUCGGUAGUUCGGCGCUUCACCCUCUCUGUCUUGAAGUGCUUGCAAAUGCUUUACGUAGAGAAAAUCAUCCACUGUGAUCUCAAGCCUGAAAAUAUAGUGCUAUACCAAAAGGGCCAAAUCACAGUUAAAGUUAUUGACUUUGGGUCCAGUUGUUAUGAGCACCAGAAAGUAUACACCUAUAUCCAAAGCCGGUUCUACCGAUCCCCUGAAGUGAUUCUGGGUCACCCCUACAAUAUGGCCAUUGAUAUGUGGAGCCUGGGCUGCAUCUUGGCAGAGCUGUACACGGGUUACCCUCUGUUCCCAGGGGAGAAUGAGGUGGAGCAGCUGGCCUGCAUCAUGGAGGUGCUGGGUCUGCCGCCAGCCCACUUCAUUCAGACGGCCUCCAGGAGACAGACGUUCUUUGAUUCCAAAGGUUUUCCUAAAACUAUAACCAACAACAGGGGGAAAAAAAGAUACCCGGAUUCCAAGGAUCUCACGAUGGUGCUGAAAACCUAUGACACCAGCUUCCUGGACUUUCUCAGAAGGUGUUUGGUAUGGGAACCUUCUCUUCGUAUGACCCCUGAUCAGGCCCUCAAGCAUGCUUGGAUUCAUGAGCCACGGAACCUCAAACCACGGCCCAGGCCCCAGGCCCUGAGGAAACCCAAUGUCACUCUUCCUUCUGAGAUAAGCAAGAACAAGGUUCAAGAGUAUCAUCACUCAACCCAAACAGAUGAGACCACCAAAGAGACUGCAGACAAAAUAAAAGAUGGUGCCACUAAGAAUGUUCAGAAUUCAGCUGAUGAGCAGGACUCUGUCCAGCACACUACUGAGACUGUCCAGCUGCCUCCUCUAGUAGAAGCUCCCAGAAAACCAGAGGCUGUUACUGAACCAGAGGUGGCCAAACCCUCCACAGAACAAAGUGGCCCAAGCUCCUCCUCUAGUAAUACAAACAUUUUACCACGUAUUGUAUGACCCUUGCUGAAGGGUCCUGUGUCCCGUUCCUUUCCAGUGAUUUGUAUUCAAGACAGCACUUAUAUUGUAGAAUACUUCAGAUUGUUGUUUUUCAAUGCAUAAAGCUUCAUCCUGAUGACUGAAGGCUCAUCCCAGAAGUUAAGAUGACUACCAACAUCCAGUCAAAAGAUAGUCUUCCUUGCUGGCAGGGAAGUCUCAAAAAUGACUAUCUCAACUGUAUCUGAGAGACUGUGGUCCUCUGUGAUUCUCACCUGGAUUAUAAGCCCACCUUGUAGUUGUGUUGAAAAUGCCAUGACUGUUGCUUCUCUAGGAAGGAGUAGGGGAUAAAGUGCUUCCCGAAGGAGGGAAGUUGAUUUCAUAAGCAGGAUAUUUUCAUUCAUCCACCACUCCUCAAAUCCAAUAAAGUCCACUUAUUUCCCUUCUCA